rnacentral:tRNA from 1 species
GGUUAAAUAACAUAAAGGAUAAUGUAGUCGAUUGCAAAUCGUUUUAUGGGGGUUCGACUCCCUCUUUAACCU